AUGGAGUGUAACUUAAAGGCAGUUUUUGGGAAUGUCCGUGGUCUUAACCCCGGCGCCAAGCGCACAGCCGUUCGUAGCGUGAUCUCCGCUGCCGCACCUAGCAUCGUUUGUCUUCAAGAGACAAAACUCGCCCAUGUCUCCGAUUCCAUCGUGUUGGACAUGCUAGGUCCUUCUUUCGAGGACUACUUCUUUGUCCCCGCUACCGGCACCCGUGACGACAUCCUUCUUGCCUGGUGGCGUUCUACCAUAUCCCUCUCCAACCCUCUGGUCGGUGAGCACCACGUAACUGCCCUGGUCACCCCGCUGGCCGGUGAUGGGCAUUGGUGGCUGACAGGCGUCUACGGGCCACAAGACGAUGACCCCAAGCUCGAUUUCCUUGCUGAGUUGCAUGAAGUGCGUGAAUCCCGCAUAGGCCCUUGGCUCGUUGGCGGCGAUUUCAACAUGAUUGCUUUGGCCGCUGAAAAGAACAACUCGAACCUCAACCACCGCGUCAUGAGCAGAUUUAGGCGUUUUAUUGCCGAUGAGGAGCUCCGUGAUCUUUACAUGCACGGCCGGUGA
rnacentral:rRNA from 1 species